rnacentral:lncRNA from 1 species
CUACCCUAUGUGCAGACACCUCAGAUGUGUGACCCUUCCCCUUCCCAUUGCCUUUGUCACCAAGCCCCACCAAGCACCAAAUGGUUUGUCCAAUCAAAAUAGAGCCCUAAACAGAACACAAAACAGUGCCACAAGGAAAUGCUAAGCCCCUUCUCUGUCUUCCAGGUUGUCCGAAACCAGUGAUUAAACCUAUCUGUUGUCCGAAGCCAGUGAUUGAACCUAUCUGUAUUCCGCAGCCAGUGAUUAAACCUGUCUGUUGUCCGAAGCCAGUGAUUAAACCUAUCUGUUGUCCGAAGCCAGUGAUUGAACCUAUCUGUUGUCCGCAACCAGUGACUGAACCUAUCUGUUGUCCGCAGCCAGUGAUUGAACCUGUCUGUUGUCCGAAGCCAGUGCCUGAACCUGUCUGUUGUCCGGAGCCAGUGAUUGAUGCUAACUGUUGUCCGCAGCCAGUGAUUGAUCCUAACUGCCCGUGUUCGAUGCCAUUAAGUCCUGUGACCGAAUGCACAGCAGUCAUCACAGACCCAGGUGCAGACUUCCCACCCUUUCUGUUAGUAGCUCACAUCUUCAGGUGCCAGUUGCUACCUGAAACUGUACUGUACAGAGAUCAAAUGUUGACGAUGAAUGCAGAAUUCAAGGGCCAUCUCACCAGUCUAUUGCAAUAUCCCCACCUGUCCCUCACCCCAAACUUAAAAUACAGAAUGUUUACCAAGGCUAAAAACUCAAGAUGCUCAGCAGGCAUCAUAAAUGAGUGUGCUGAGGAGAACCCCAGAGCUGUGGCGAAUGGGGUCAGGAGGCUACGUGGUCUGAAGAGGCUGUUACACUCACCCUAUUGAUUCAUGAGAACAAAAUGCAGAUGCAGAGUUGACCCACAACUGGGGUGAAAUGUCCCAAUGUUUAACCAUGAUACGUAUCUGUAUCCAUCAGGUAGAUGGCAAAAACCCAUCUUCCAACCAAGCUCACCCCAGUAGUUUCUACUAGUCGAAUUUUAAUGAUUUCAGUGUUAGGACAAAGGGGCUGGUUUGAUGGAUUGGGGUUGAUGCUAUUGACAUAGGACGCCUUAGUGCCUCUCUGAAGUCCCCAUCCACCUAUGCCUCCCAUGUCCUCAGCAGACAGGCAGAUCAGACAAUUCUCACUGCACGAUGAACACAUCAUCAAAACUCAGGCCCAAGGAUGAACUGGAAACUCCAGAUGUCCCAGAUUAGGCACGGGACCUUGUGUCAGCCACUUUUUUCCUAUGUUGUGACAGAAAAUGUCUUCAGGAAGAAGGCUUUAUUUUGGCUGAGGAUUUAAGGGUAGUCCAGAAUGCCAGGAAGGAAGUCAGGGUGACAGAUGUGUGGGGCAGCUAGCUGGUCACAUGGCUUCUGCAGUCAGGAAGCAGAGAGGAGUACUGAUGACAGCACACUUUCUCCUCUUUUCAUUCAGUCCAAGACUGCAGCCCAUGGGAGGUGACAUCCACAUUCAGUGUGGGUCUUGCCUCCUCUGGAAGUCCUGUGGAGCUGGGGAGCUACCUCUCUUAACUUAAAAGACAGUGUGUACUACUCUUGCAGCAGACCAGAGUCUGAGUCCCAGCACCCACAUCUGGUGGUUCAUAACCACCACAACUCCAUCUCCAUGGGAUCCAAUGCCACUGGCCUCCAAAAAAGGCCUGCACUCAUAUACACAUUCCCACACACUGACAUAUAAUUUUUUUAAAAAGCUACUGGGAACAUCUGGUUGAUACACCCAGAAGUGUGUCUCCUGCCUGAUUCUAAAUCAAGUUGAUAAUGAAGCGAACCAUCACAGACCCUGUAGCUAGAAACAGGAACACAAGCCCACAGACCUACAGCUGGGAACAGGAACACAGACCUACAUCUGGGAACACAGGUCACUUGAAGUAAACAGAAGCUCUUGCCCCUGAAAAUGAGAAGCCGGAAUCCAAACUGAAUAAACAAUGCUCUUUUUAGUGGAGGUACCAGAGAAGCUAGGUAGAAAAGGCAAGUAAAGCCAUGACACGGGGUUUCUGAAGGCAUAAAGGCAUGCCAAAGCAACCUGGACACUGCCAUUUCCUUUUUACUAGCUUAGUCUUGUCUGGCUUUCAGCACAAAUGUGAGGCAUAGACUGGUUUAGAGGAGGUGGAGGAAGAAGAAGAAAAGCCCGUAAAUCUAUGAAGAAAUCCAAGUCUGAGAAGAAAGAUCAAUCUGAGGAGGACUGAGACAAGAAAUUAUUUACUCUCAAGUGUGCCAGGGUUAGCAUGCUUAGCAGACAUAGAUGGCACAUGCUGCAGGAUAUAUAUUUAAUCUGUGUUGGCCUACUCUGUCCAGGCCUGGUCCUAAGAACUGGUGCUGAUCCAGUGAGUAGUGUCUCUUCACUCAAGAUCCUAUUUUGAGAUUUUAAAAAGUAAGGGAGGCUGCAGAACUGUCUCAGCAGUUAAGAGCACUAGCUACUCUUGCAGGAGACCUGAGUUCACUUCCCAGCACCCACAAGGUGGCUCACAACCUUUCAUAAUUGUACUCCAGGGGAUCCAACACCGUGUCCCGGCCUAAGAAUCUUCUUCUUAUGUAAACAUACGGUGUGUGUGUGAAAAGAAAACUCCAUGUCUGAAUCAGAAGUCUUCCAGAGAAACCCAGUGAGGGAUACAUCUGAUGUUAAUUAACAAACAGUUAAUACUUAAACCACUGAGCCAGUAGAGUGUAGUGGCUCAUGCCUAUAAUCUCACCACUCAGAAGGCUGAAGCAGGAAGAUGGCAAGUUUGAUGCCAACAUGGGCUACAUAGAGAGAUACCUAUGAUGAUGAUGAUGAUGAUGGUGAUGAUGGUGAUGAUAUAAAGAACAGGAGGACAGGGAGGAGUGGCAGACAUGGAGAGAAGACGACUGAAAUACACUGAACAUCAAAGGUUCACUCAAAGAUGGAGAGCUAAGGGUUGUGCUGAAGACUGUCAGUUUUGGACACAGAAGAAAGAUCUGGGGACAGACAUGAAGGAGUGAGUGCAGAGACAACUGCAAGAAGGGGCCAAGGGUCCUACAGAGCCAUCUUUCCAAGCUGGAGAGAAUAUGGCUUUGGGGUGAAGAGUUGGGGACAUAUUUUACAAAAUAGAAGUCAUUGCUAACCUUGACAGGAUAACGGGGGAAGGUUAAGGAAACGGUGACUUUGCAAACGCAAAGAAGAGGGUGCAUUCUGGGUCACAUGGCAGAGCACAGAAGGGACACCACAAAGCAGCAUUCUGGGUGACAAAAUACUAUGCAAUGAAGAUACUUGAAUAGAAUAUUCAAAUAAAUAUGUAAAAAUAGCUUGUAGAAGGAAAAGGCAGAUAAGUGUAAAGAAAGGCCAAGGAAAGAAAGGCAGACAGACAGACAGACAGGAUGGAGGGGCCAGGAGAUAGCUCCAUCACUUAAGUGAGAAUUCUCAUUCUCAGCAAUUUAUUAUUAAACUGAAGACAUACAUCAGGAGCAGUGGUACAUGUCUGUGAUCCCAGCACUCAAGAGACUGGGCAGUGGUGGUGGAUUAAAGUGCUCCUUUAAUGCCAGCACUUGGGAGGCAGAGACAGGCAGAUCUCUGUGAGUUUGAGGCCAGCCUGGUCUACAGAGUGAGUGCCAGGACAGCUAGGGCCACACAGAGAAACCCUGUCUUGAAGCCCAGAGAGACAGAGAGAGAGAGAGAGAGAGAGAGAGAGAGAGAGAGAGAGAGAGAGAGAGAGAGAGAGAGAGAAAGAGAGAUAGAAAGAGAGAGAAAGAGGGAGAAUGAAGCAAGAGGAUGUAAAUUUAAGUCUAACCUGAGCUACACAGCAAGACCUUAACCACCUACCCCCCCACAAAGAAAAAAACUAGAUCCAUGCAGAACCUAUUUAUUCCACUUUACAAUGCAAAUGCAAGAAAGACACCUGUGUGUUCCUGAAAGAACACACAUACAAGGGUUGUGAAAUGGUUAAUAAUAAAAAUAGGCACAGAUUUAAAUGUAGUGAGCAUCCGUUUCUACGUUUAUGUGACUGAGGAAAUUCCCAGAUUAGAGUAUUAAAUGAUACUUAACAAAGUUUUUAAAAGAUGACUCAUGUAAAUUAAAACAAAAAGUAAAGCUUAACAUGACAGGGAUGAAGUUUUUACUUACUGAAAACACGCCUAACUAAUGACAGCGGCUGCCUUGAAGAGCAGGGGGAGAGAUGGACCUGGGAUCCAUGUUCAAAGGCAGUUAGUUCUCUAUAACAUGUUUUUCUCAAAACAAAUGAGCUCCCUAGUAACUGUGACAAAUGUCCUAUAAUAGGUGGUGAGCAUCGGUACUUGGGCCAUUAGCUUGAAUGCAUUUUUUUUAUUUCUCAAAGCAAUAAAGGGGCAAAUAAAGCAAUCACACCCCAAGGAGGCAGUCCUAGAAUAACUGAGCUCCUGCAGAAGAUCCAAACUUCUGUGUUUCCAAGACAGAGGAGGGUCAAUUCCUCUUCAUUCACUAGUGAUAACAACAACCCUGCUGUGGUUUCCUCUGUCCCUCGUGAGAUUUGAAGGCAUCCCACUUCCAGAACUGAAGCCCUUUCCAGUCACAGGUGCAGUUCUCAGAUGCUGACAAACCCAGUGCCUCAAAGAGCCUGGAAUUCACAAGAAACAGGUUUCUAACCCAUAGCAAUACUGUCACAAAGCCCGAGAGAGCCUAAGUUCAGACUCCCAUCUGUGAACAAAAAGGCAUGGGCACACUCAGGAAAAUCACGUUCCCAUUUAACCAGGUGGCUUGGCAGGUGAAGGCUCUUGCUGCCAAGCCUGAAUAUCUGAAUUCCAUCCCAGGGCACACAUGGUGGAAAGAGAGAACCAGCUCUGACAAAUUGUCCUCUGAUGCUGGCAAGUGAGCAUCAAAUGACAAAUGACAGUGGCGGAUCAAGAAAACAGCUCAACUCAGCACAGCUUAAGACAUGGGGCAUUUCCUAACUUAGAGACCAGAUUGGGUGGGAGGGGAAUCAAGGACCUAUCUCUAGCCCUGGACCCUUCUUUCCAUGGCAUUCAGAGACAACGCCACCCUACUGAACCUCCCCUCUUAGUCAGCUUGCAAGACUCAUCUAGAGGUCACACAAAGGAACAGAUAUUUCUGUUUCAUCAAAAACUAUACUAACAGUUUUGUCUUUUUCAUUAAAGCAAAACCUAGACCACCUAUAUUAGUGAGACAAGACACAGUUCAUGUAGCAGUGCCUGUCUGUUGCACGGAUAGAAAACUUCCCAAAAAGCCACUAGUAUGCAGGGAUUCUUUGAAGAAGAGCAGAUGCCAUCUGAAGAGUGAGUGUGGGACUCCAACGAGGUGCGACUCCCCCACCAGGAACAGAUCUGUACUGCUAGAGUGCGAGCCCCGUGAAAGAGAAAGAAAGUGUUCAGGUGGCGUUCUAAAGAGACGCGAUUCCCAGACAGGAAUUCCAAGAAGACUGGAAUCUCAAGUAAGGUUUGCCACAGGACCCGAUAAUGAAAUUUCAUCUAAAGCCCAUUGUUGUGAGCCACCAGUUUGCAGAAAUCGGGAAUCCCUCAGGAAGAAUGAGGACGGCAUACUGAAGAAACAGGAUUCACAGAGGACAAGGCCUAAGAAAUGCCGACUAGAACCACAAGAAAGGUGUGUUGUUCUGCCUCCUUGCUAUCAGCCAGGGGCACCUCCGGCUCCACGUGGGCCAUAGGGGCUUCCACUGUGAUCUUCAGGAUCAAGCUGUGUCCCUGCCCUCACCCCGGUGGAACACAGUUACAAAAUCCAUUUCCUCUAUACAUCUUCGUUUUCUGCUAUUCAGAAGUUUGCCGUUAUUAGACUUCCCUGACACAAACUACAUCUUCCAAAUUUUUUCUGUAAGCCAAUACGUAUAUCUACUCCAACGAAGAAAGACAGUGUUCUCAGAAAUAAAAUGUCUUUACUAAAUACCUAAUUAGUUCUUUUGACAGUGUUCUAUCUCUAGCUCACCCAGUUGACCUUAUGACCUUGAUGGCUGCAAAUGCUUUAUGAUCCACCAAAAAAAAAAAAAAAUACAUAGGAAAUAAAGUCAGACCUCCCGCAACCAAGCAGUUUAUGACAGAAAUGGUGGCCAUGUAAGCACAAUCAUUUUUUUAAGAGUCAAUUUUAAAAUGUGUCCAAAAGUAGUUUAAGUGGUCUGGAAAGAGUUUAGAGAUAAGAGAGUCAGAAAUCAGUCGGUAGAGCUUGGGACUCUUAAUCCCAGGGUCGUGGGUUCGAGCCCCACGUUGGGCGCCAAAAUGUUAUCUUUUGUUUAAAAAGAAUAGAAAUGCUGAGGCAUGACACAUAUUGACUAUAAGUUUAUUAUAGGCCCGGCAGAGUAUGGAGACUAAGAGAAGAAGAACAGGAUAAUGGCUGACCACCAUGGCCGGUUGCCAUAGAGAGACAGAGAGAGAGCAUAGGUGGGAGACAGAGUAGAGAGAAAGCAGAGACAAAGCAGAGCGGGGGAACAGAGAGAGGAAACAGAGAGCGUAAAUGGGCAGGGACCUGUCUUUUAAAGGGGUCCUCUGCACCUGCGCGCAGACUUAGUUCCCAUGGAACCUUGGGCUGACCAGGGUACUGCCUGUUCCACCAGGUAAUAGGGGCAGGCCAGCAUAAUGCCUGAACCUUUCAGGCAUAGCCCUGUGAGUCUGAGGUCAGCCUGGUCUACACAGCAGUUCCAGGCCAGCCAGAUAUACAUGGUGAAAUUCUACCUCACUACUACUAAUAAUAAUAAAUUAAAAUAAAAAUUUGAAAGUUCUUAUCUCCAGCAAGAGACAUAACCCAACAGGGGGCUGUGAGGGGUCCUCUCCGUUUCUCAUGUCCUCUUGAUUGCUGUCCUCCUGUCCUGCCUCAGAAAGAGAGGAAGCAGUUGGCUGGUGGCUCAUGUGCAACGCUGCCUUCAGCCAAACCUGAGGCCAGGACCCUCCCAAGUCCUGUGACCUCCAUACAUCGUACACGCACACAGACACACUCACACACAUGUGCACACACACGUGCACACACACGUGCACACAGAGACGCGUGCGCAAGCGCGCACACCACACACGUGCACACACGCACAGACACCACACACACACACCACACACGUGCACACACGCGCACAGACACCACACACGUGCACAUGCACUUGCGCGCACACACGCACGCGCAUCCACACGCCACAAGCACGUACACAUACACACGUAUUGACACUCACCACACACGCACAACACACACACACACACACACACACACACACACUCCCCGCCAUUGCCUUCUGCUCAUUUCCCAUUCACGCCCACCCGCGCCCCCUCCGCACCGCCCC